rnacentral:lncRNA from 1 species
CCAAGGAUGACCCCUCAUCCGGGAUAGUGCACUCUAUGAGGAAGUCGGCCAAAUCCUGAGCUUUUAUUGUAGGUUAAAGCCAAAAAUUGAUGUUUAAUUCUUCGAGCUUGAUUAUCCAUUUGGCCAUGCACCUGGAGGUGUCUGUCUUUUGGAGAAUCACCUUCAAAUAUUGAUUAGUUAAGACGACCACCGAGUGGGCUUGAAAAAAAAAGUCGAAAAUGAUAUGCAGAAGUGAUUAGUGCAUGCAUAAAUCAUCUUCUCGAUCUUAGAGUAUCUAGUUUCUACAUCCUCAAGAAUCUUGCUUGUUUAGUAGAUUGGCUUCUUGAUCCCUGGAUCUUCUUA